GCAUUAAUGGGGUAGUGGUAACCUGGGUCGUUGCCAUCGAAGUUGACUAGGCUCUAACGCGAACGCUCUGCUCGACCCGCCGGGGGUUCGAUUCCCCCUUAAUGCA
rnacentral:tRNA from 1 species